UCGUUGUGUACCGAGUGGUGAUGCCAGC
rnacentral:sRNA from 1 species